UGCGUGUACCCAGUAUUUCAGUGUUUAAUGAGUAUACUCGUAAAGAUAGGCAGACUGUGAUAAGUUAUCAAUAUUGAUAUACCGCUGUUGAAAACACGACUUAAAAUGUCAUUUCCCUAGGACUAAUGGACGUCAACAUGGCUAACGAGUCUUCGCGUGUCGUUCCUAGGAGGCAGCUUUUUCCGAUCCUAACCUCCACAGGCGUUGCUUAUACACGACGCUAGCUUCAAUUUUCUCAACGUGCAUUCCGCAUAUUCCAUCAGAGUCAAGCGAGGCAGCCAAACCUCAACCGUUAAAUUCCCAGCUGACUUCACUUCGUCCGACGUGGUAGCAGCCGUCUUUAAGCUGGAUCAGCAGAGACCGAAGUAAUGACCUCAUAAGAAUGGGAAGCACAGGGGGAUCGGGAAGAUCUAAGUGCGUGGAAGAUUAUAAAGGACCAAAGGGAGUACGAGAAGACAUGAGAGCCAAGAAGAAAAAAGGAUAACGAAAAUCGCCAAAGCAGCAAAGGUGGCUUAAGCAAAGAAAAAGAAAAAAAAAGUCGUCUGGUUGAAAAAAAAAAAAAUUCGAAAUUUAUUACGUCAACUCCCAAUAAGAACGAAUAUCAUUAUCGCUGAAGAAUUUUAAUGAAAAUUUAUUACCUAACAAGACUUUUCAUCGAAACGUCACCCAAGCCAUUUAACACCGUCACAUUACCCGGACUCGCUCGCGGCCUUAUGAAUUAUCUGAAAAAUUAUGAAAAUUAGGUAAUACACAACUGGCGUCGUGUCUGGUUUGCUACGUGAUCAUCCAAACACGAUAAUGUCUGGAGUUAAAUGAGGCAGCUAAUUUAUUUAUGAAAAUUGAACAGUGUAACUGAUAUAUCUAUAUAUAUUUGGCCCGAUCAAGCAAUCCGUGAAAUGGCCAAAAGCUGUUACUCUCAGGGAUCGAUAAUUAUCAUGCCAUCCGCUUGUACCUUGUCCUAUCUGCAUAUACACCUAAAAUGUAAUAGACCAACCAAGUGGGUUACUACAUAUAGCGGUACACACGAGUAAUCCUACUGUGACAUAGUUUAACCUAAAAUUCCACGUACAUUAAUUAUCGUGGUUAGGAUGCCAGAUAGAGGCGUAAUUUAAUUGAAAAUUGUAAAUAAUUCCUUACGCGAGGUUUCUCAUAUUUUUUUAAAGCUUCAUUAAAUUUACUCCCCGGCAGACGUUUCCUUUGACAAUUUAUUUACCUCCGUCUAAGUAAUGCAUUAUGUGCAUGGUAACAUUAUUUUACGAAAAUUUAAUGCUACACGUUCUACCAGGGGCGUACGUAACCUCUAGGAAAUUGUGCAUAUAGGGAACUAUCGAGACGAGGGAACGACGUCUUUUUUUUGGAUCUUAUAGAAAUUUUUUUUUAUUUUGAGAUAUCAAUGCCAAUCCAUUGUCUCAGAAUCAAAUUUCAAAGAUAUAAAUUCAGAAUAAUCUCAUUCGGAUUGUUUAACGAGAAUCCUGCGAGGAAUCCUGGUGCCAUUGAUAUUCGAUAAACACGGGCUGACCAACGUUCCAAUUACCUGCUGACAUAACCUCAAAGCUCGUGUAGCGCCACAGAUGCGUAAACGCUCUGAAAUUGGAUUCGCCACGUCACGCAGACUCUAUUCCCUUGGGAAUAGUCAACAGAUACUCCUGGCUUAUUGGUCGCAGCCAGUGGACACUGCGAGGACUGUGGUACAAUAACAGUGUUAUUGGCCACCUAUGACGGCACUUAGUAGCUUUAACAGGAAUAUUAAUUGGACUAAUUGUAAGGAUACGUCAGUCUGGACCAAUCGGAAGAAGCUGCAAGAAAAAAUUAGGACAGCCCAUUAGCAUGUUGGCUUUGAAACGUCAAGUCGAUGACGAGGGCUGAUAGACGCAUGAUGGAUAGGUCAGUGAAUUUUUUACGUCAUCCGAGUGAAGAUUGGAUUUCAAGUUGAGAGGGGUUCGCUUUGUAUCCCUGUACCAAAACACCCAGUAAUAAUUACGUAACGACUAGGUCACAAUUUUGUACUUCGAUAUAUGCCGAUCGCGCGAUACUCGGCUGUUUUUUCGGCGAAUAUCAAAUAUCGAACGUCCAACUGUUGCUUUGCUUGGAUAUGGGCGAGUAUUAGAUUAAAUACAUAGCAAGUUAAUUAUAGUUGACCCGAGUAUGGUCUGAGUCAACUUGUAAGCAUAUAUGACUUUCUCACUUGAAGAUGGUUUACUUUGUGCAUUCAUGAAAAGCUACCACUAGGGUUUACCAAUGAUAAUGAAGGAAGUGAUUAGCCUGUUUAUUCUGUUUUCACGCUUUUUACAGAAAUAACAAUCAGGGUUGCCAUGGUUACGUAACUAAGGUAGAAGUUGUAUCUUGGUAAUAUUGGAAUUUUGAAUUUAUCAAUUUCACGAUUUUACCUCUUUAUAGAGAAAUUUCGACAUUUUUCGUAGCCUAGCUUCACGUACUAUCGAACUGAUCAUUUUUAUACAUUGAAACUAAUUAAGAAUUACAAUUAUUGUUGGAAGUAAUAUCAGACACUUGUAAAUGCCCAAGGCGUGAUUCAA